rnacentral:lncRNA from 1 species
UUUCUACUGUAUUUUUUAUGUUGGGGCUUAUCAAGUAUGAAUUAGUGGAAAUCUUUAGGGUGAGAUAUCAGGCCAUAGUGAGAGGGCAUAAGCAGAUGACACUACUGUCACAAAGCCAGUAUUUUAUCAUUUCAGAGAAGUGGGCUGACCUGACUUGUUUGUGCAGUUUUAGGCAUCAGGGGAAUUAGCAGAGAUUUGAAGAGAGAGGCAACACACAGAGAGAGAGAAGACAAAGAGAAGGAAGGAAGACAGAGAGACAGAGGGAGAAAAGGAUUGAGGAAAAGAAAGUGGGGGAACAGAGGAGGAGGAGGGAAAAGAGAAAGAGAGACAGACAGAAACCGAGACAGCGAAAGUGUGAUAACAUAAACAGAGAAGCAAACAGAAAGAUGGGAGAGACACCAAGAGAGAGAAGGAGACACAUACGUGAAGAGUUAGAUGUGCACACAUGAGCGUGUCUCCGGGAAGAAGAAAGGUUCUGUGGAUGAGGCAUGGUGCCUGGCACAGACUGACACACAUUGGGACAAACUUGGCAGAGCAGCCAGAGCCAAAGCAAAAAACAGAAAUGAACCAAGAUACAACCUUUGUGGAAAACUCUUUUGAACAAAAGCAACUCUGUGGAGUAUCCUCUCAGCUGCAAAGUGAGACAGAAUUACGGGACAAGCUUGGCCACUGAUAGAGAGAGAAAGUCAUCUGCUGCUAACUCCUAGGUGUCUAGGAGUUCUGCCUGCUGAAUCGCCGUCAAAAUGAGACAGAGCCCAGCAGUUGUCAGCUGUCCAGCAAGGGUCCAUGACAGCAUC